rnacentral:lncRNA from 1 species
CGGUAUUAAAUGGAAAAGAUGAGCUAGUGAUGUGACUUACUUUCCUACCUCUGGUCUGAUACCUAAUUGUAAAGUUUGGCACCAUUUCAUAUCAGCAAAAAUGAUCCCCAGUAACAAUACCAGCGAGGUCACAAAGGAACGGGUUUUACUGAAUUUUGUUAUUCAGAAGGGGUAUUCUCUUGAUGUUGGCAAGGUCAUUCAAAAUAGCAUUCUUCGCAUCAUAGCAGGCUGGCUACAGGUAGUUUGGGACACCCCUCUUUGAUCCAUGACCUUUGCAUACACAGGGGUGUUCCCACGCGAGAAACUGAUGAAGUGUUGCACCAAAAACAAC